UACAUGGGGUGCAAACGUUGCUCGGAAUUAUUGGGCGUAAAGCGCACGUAGGUGGUCUGUUAAUGUCAGAUGUGAAAGCCCUCGGCUUAACUGAGGAAGUGCACCUGAAACUGGCAGGCUUGAGUACGAAAGAGGGUCGCGGAAUUCCCGGUGUAGAGGUGAAAUUCGUAGAUAUCGGGAGGAACACCGGUGGCGAAGGCGGCGACCUGGUUCGGGUACUGACACUGAGGUGCGAAAGCG
rnacentral:rRNA from 1 species